UACAGAGGUCUCGAGCGUUGUUCGGAUUCAUUGGGCGUAAAGGGCGCGUAGGCGGCGGGGUAAGUCUGGUGUGAAAUCUCGGAGCUCAACUCCGAAAUUGCACUGGAUACUGCUCUGCUAGAGGGCUGGAGAGGAGAUCGGAAUUCACGGUGUAGCAGUGAAAUGCGUAGAUAUCGUGAGGAAGACCAGUGGCGAAGGCGGAUCUCUGGACAGCUCCUGACGCUGAGGCGCGAAGGUCAGGGGAGCAAACGGG
rnacentral:rRNA from 1 species